GAAUGCUGACAUAAGUAACGAUAAAGCGGGUGAAAAGCCCGCUCGCCGGAAGACCAAGGGUUCCUGUCCAACGUUAAUCGGGGCAGGGUGAGUCGACCCCUAAGGCGAGGCCGAAAGGCGUAGUCGAUGGGAAACAGGUUAAUAUUCCUGUACUUGGUGUUACUGCGAAGGGGGGACGGAGAAGGCUAUGUUGGCCGGGCGACGGUUGUCCCGGUUUAAGCGUGUAGGCUGGUUUUCCAGGCAAAUCCGGAAAACCAAGGCUGAGGCGUGAUGACGAGGCACUACGGUGCUGAAGCGACAAAUGCCCUGCUUCCAGGAAAAGCCUCUAAGCAUCAGGUAACAUCAAAUCGUACCCCAAACCGACACAGGUGGUCAGGUAGAGAAUACCAAGGCGCUUGAGAGAACUCGGGUGAAGGAACUAGGCAAAAUGGUGCCGUAACUUCGGGAGAAGGCACGCUGAUAUGUAGGUGAAGCGACUUGCUCGUGGAGCUGAAAUCAGUCGAAGAUACCAGCUGGCUGCAACUGUUUAUUAAAAACACAGCACUGUGCAAACACGAAAGUGGACGUAUACGGUGUGACGCCUGCCCGGUGCCGGAAGGUUAAUUGAUGGGGUUAGCGGUAACGCGAAGCUCUUGAUCGAAGCCCCGGUAAACGGCGGCCGUAACUAUAACGGUCCUAAGGUAGCGAAAUUCCUUGUCGGGUAAGUUCCGACCUGCACGAAUGGCGUAAUGAUGGCCAGGCUGUCUCCACCCGAGACUCAGUGAAAUUGAACUCGCUGUGAAGAUGCAGUGUACCCGCGGCAAGACGGAAAGACCCCGUGAACCUUUACUAUAGCUUGACACUGAACAUUGAGCCUUGAUGUGUAGGAUAGGUGGGAGGCUUUGAAGUGUGGACGCCAGUCUGCAUGGAGCCGACCUUGAAAUACCACCCUUUAAUGUUUGAUGUUCUAACGUGGGCCCCUAAUCGGGGUUGCGGACAGUGUCUGGUGGGUAGUUUGACUGGGGCGGUCUCCUCCUAAAGAGUAACGGAGGAGCACGAAGGUUGGCUAAUCCUGGUCGGACAUCAGGAGGUUAGUGCAAUGGCAUAAGCCAGCUUGACUGCGAGCGUGACGGCGCGAGCAGGUGCGAAAGCAGGUCAUAGUGAUCCGGUGGUUCUGAAUGGAAGGGCCAUCGCUCAACGGAUAAAAGGUACUCCGGGGAUAACAGGCUGAUACCGCCCAAGAGUUCAUAUCGACGGCGGUGUUUGGCACCUCGAUGUCGGCUCAUCACAUCCUGGGGCUGAAGUAGGUCCCAAGGGUAUGGCUGUUCGCCAUUUAAAGUGGUACGCGAGCUGGGUUUAGAACGUCGUGAGACAGUUCGGUCCCUAUCUGCCGUGGGCGCUGGAGAACUGAGGGGGGCUGCUCCUAGUACGAGAGGACCGGAGUGGACGCAUCACUGGUGUUCGGGUUGUCAUGCCAAUGGCACUGCCCGGUAGCUAAAUGCGGAAGAGAUAAGUGCUGAAAGCAUCUAAGCACGAAACUUGC
rnacentral:rRNA from 1 species